rnacentral:rRNA from 1 species
GUUCGUGCGAUAGAGACUAGAUCGCUCAGCGUACGAACCGAUGAGAGACUUGCUCUUAGAUUUGGUCAGCGCUGGACCGGUGAGUACACGUGGGCAACCUGCCCGCAAGACCGGGAUAACUCCGGGAACGGAGCUAAUACCGGAUAACACCGAGACCGCAUGGUCUUCGCUGAAGGCGGCCUCUUGCUGUCACUUGCGGAUGGGCCCGCGGCGCAUUAGCUAGUUGGUGAGGUACCGCUCACCCAGGCGACGAUGCGUCAGCGGCCUGAGAGGGUGACCGCCACACC